CAGAAAUGUGCCAUGGUUACCACUGUAAACUGCCUGUGUGCCGUUUUAGAAUGGAAGGCUAUAACGUAGCAACGGUAACUACGGAGGUGGGGCUUAGCAACCUAAAUUGCAUUUAACAUUUAUUGCGCUUGUGCCGCCAUUUUUAAACGCCUUUUGCAGUUUGUUUUGUCCUGCUGUCCACUCUUUUUUUUAAAGGAAUUACUCUACGCUGAGAUACAGGGACCACUGCUUCACGUCAAGAACGGCCACCUUGGACCAGCAGUCCUUGUUCUGGUUUCCGGCAAAGCUGAGGGAGGAAGAAUCAUUAUUUCUGCCUCCAAGGGAGCAGGGACCUAAGGAAAUAGCCAAAGUUCCGGAAGUUUUGCUGUUGGAGCAGAGCAGCGGGAUGAACGGAAAGGUCAUUACACAAAGCAAUGUCUUCUCGUAUCCAUCCAAGAAUGGAUGAGAUGGACGUAAUUCUUUCCACAUACCACGUGGAUCCCAAAUGUCAGGGUCACCACACGCUCCGAUGGGGGCCACAGCAAACCAGAGAGUCCACCUCCCUGUCACACAGCAGGCCCUGCAGAGGCUGUGGUGGGCCGUGCAUGUGGAAACAUGAUCAUCAUUUUGUGUUCAAUUAUUCUCAGGACAGCCUGAGCUAACUGCUAACAUCUGUGAAAGCCAUAUCACACAGUAUAACGCUGCCAGCUAGCGGCGCAGCAGAUCGCAGUAGUAGUAGUCACUGAUACAUUAUUGAUACCCCUUUUAGCAUGGUGGUCUGAGGUCAGAAUCUGAUAAAGCAGGGCAGCAACUCUGGAGCUGCUACAGAUGUCAUGUCCUACUCAAAGACUCUUAAUCAGGGCUCAUGAAGAAGUUUGAAUCUUAUGUCUAUUGUUGCUGAGAUGAGUUUGGGAAAGUUCAAAUGUACGACACUACACUGCUGGAUAACAUAAUCAAUAAUUUGAUUAUAUGCUCAGAUGUUUUUGUUGUUUCUGUCUGAAUAUGCAGAAUGAAUGGAUUGCAUAAAUGUUCUUAGGCUUCAUCUUAAAGGAUCGUUCUGGUUCAGAACAACCUGGGUCUUAUUUUCAUACUUGGAGCCAGCAUUCCUGUCAGUAAAAACAUUGUUGUGUUCCAGGAUCUCAGCAUUUAACUAUAAUCAUAGUACAAUCACAGUGUAGUCAAAACCAAUAGAAAUUAAAGUACUACAAAAAAUACACAAAACUAAGUUGUAGUAAAUGUUAAAGCUUUGAUAUAUAGCACUUGUGCUUCUCCACUGAGGAGCCUGUGAAAACAGUUGUAUGAUACCGACACACAUAGUGAUGUCAUCAGGGUCAUCUCUCUGUGGGCUUGACACUUGACAUUUAUAACAGGAGGUGUGGGAUAUGGAGCUCGUGUCCUACAAAAGAUGCAAUUGAUUUGUUUUAUGGGAAAUGUAGGAUAGAACAUUUUUGGACCGUAGCUAAUACAAGGGACUAGA